AUACGGAGGGUGCAAGCGUUGUCCGGAUUUAUUGGGUUUAAAGGGUGUGUAGGCGGUGUAUUAAGUCAGUGGUGAAAGCCUGCGGCUCAACCGUAGAACUGCCAUUGAUACUGACACACUCGAGUAUGGACGAGGUAGGCGGAAUUUAUGGUGUAGCGGUGAAAUGCAUAGAUACCAUAAAGAACACCGAUAGCGAAGGCAGCUUACUAGGCCAUAACUGACGCUGAGGCACGAAAGCGUGGGGAGCGAACAGGAUUAGAAACCCUAGUAGUCC
rnacentral:rRNA from 1 species